CUUCAACUGAGCAUCUAUGCAGGUAAUUAUUAUCCAUUUAUUCUGUCUUCCAUAACCAUAAAGUUGUUCCCUGGGACGUAUAAAAUGACUUCUGCGUAUUCCUGAAAGCAUAACGAUCUGUGAGCUGCUGGUCUUUAUUGCUCCUUUAGGAUGAGAGACCCCUCCUCAAGUCUGACUCAAGAGACUAGAGAGACAACAACACACACACGGCGCAUAGCGUCUACUAACAAUAGUGUGUGAGCAGCCAGAUAUUCCCUCACGCCUUCUACACACGUCUGCGCCGUCCGUCACUGCGUUCCCUGUGUGCAUGUGGCACGUUUCCACCAGGGGAAGUCCACCACGUCCCCGGCGCCGGUCCAGCCCGGCGCUGCCCUGAAGAACGACCCUGCAGGAUCCAACAGGGUCCAGUACAAAAAAUGAAUCUGAGUCUACUUUAAUGCUCUUAUUUAUAUUGAAAUUGUAUUGUAUUUCUUUUAAUAAAAGAUAAAGCUAUACUUUUAUUAUUA